UACGGGAAGCAGCAGUGGGGAAUUUGGACAAUGGGGGGAAACCCUGAUCAGCCAUCCCGCGUGUGCGAUGAAGGCCUUCGGGUUGUAAAGCACUUUUGGCAGGAAAGAAACGGCGCAGGAUAAUACCCGAUGCAACUGACAAUACCUACAGAAUAAGCACCGGCUAACUACGUGCCAGCAGCCGCGGUAAUGCGUAAGUGCAAGCGUUAAUCGGAAUUACUGGGCGUAAAGCGUGCGCAGGUUCGGAAAGAAAGAUGUGAAAUCCCAGAGCUUAACUUUGGAACUGCAUUUUUAACUACCGAGCUAGAGUGUGUCAGAGGGAGGUGGAAUUCCGCGUGUAGCAGUGAAAUGCGUAGAUAUGCGGAGGGAACACCGAUAGCGAAAACAGCCUCCUGGGAUAACACUGACGCUCAUGCACGAAAGCAUUGGGAGCAAACAACAGGAUUGAAUACCCGUGUAGU
rnacentral:misc_RNA from 1 species